rnacentral:lncRNA from 1 species
UGCAAAUGUGGCCUGUUAUUAUAUAUCGACAUCAUAAUUCAUCGGUAAAUUAUAUGGCUUAAUUUUAUUCUGAGCCCGCAGGACUUGAAUUAGAGCAUUUGUGAGGAAUGCUAACAUCUUUCUCAUUUCCAUGAUUUUGUUAUUAGUGAAAGAAAAUGUUAAGUCCAACUAUAUAGUUAAUGAUGCAGUUUGUAAUAAUCUUUGUACUUACUCUUUCUGCAUAUCUAGAUCUUGAACUGCACUAGGUGUUCUAAUCAUUCUCUACUCAAACAUUCUGAUUACGUUAUUUUUUAUGACCAGAUUAACACUUGUUGCUGAGCUAAGUGCAGUUUCUUUUGAACAAGACAGGGAUGACUUUACUAUUGGAAAACCGUUUUAAUGUUUAAUAUUUUUACAUUUAGAAAUGUUAUUUUGCUUUGGUUUGUUUCAUACAUUUAUUUUGAAUAUAUUUUUUUUUUAUUUUGUUUUCUGUUUAAUCCGAAAAUAGCUGUCCCAAGACAAAUGUGUGCAUGGACAAAGUAAUUCAUUGUGAAUGGCGCAUUGCUACAGUAAGGAAGUGAAGGACGACAUCAGACCAACUGAUCUGUUCUGCUGCAUCUCCUGGCCACUGAACUCCCACUGUCUGCACCAAGUACAGGUAGGAAAAAUUUCAUCUGUUGAAUUACACAUCAGGAAAUUUCUAGUGAAAGAGGUGGAGGUUGUUGGAGGUGAGAAGGUGAGUGUUAAUCACCUAAACCGUCCUGUGGAAAAGUGGCCUAUUGUAGUUUGUGAGUCAGGGUUUUCAUGUAAGGUGCAGAACAAACCUUCUGUAGUUUUGAGUAAAUUUCACCUGGGGUUUAGGGUAUUAUGUAGCAUAGCUCACUGCUGGGAGAACCAAGAGGAGAGGGCAAAAUAGUCAGUGGUGCAGGAGGCUGUACAGCUACAGGAGUUUUAAUGGUUUGUUGUGAGGAAGAGGGUGUGGGAGAGGGCUUAUGGGUCUCCACAUGUCUCCAAAUUGCUUCAAAGAGAAAGGAAAUAAUUUGUUUCUACUGCUUUUGGGGCAGAAUAAAGAAUAAUGGAAUUGAACUGCAGCAAGUAAGAUUUAGGCAAGACAUUUGGGGGAAAAUUUCAGUUGUAAAAAUAGUUAUGUCCUAGGUUAGAUUGCUUGGGGAGAUCCUAGAGUCUGUCAGUGCACUACUUACAAGCCAACUAACAGGCAUUUUCCAGGGGUAAUUUAAGCAGAGCAGGCUCCACUUUGGAUUAUGAAGAUGAAUUAGCUCACUUCUGCAGGUCCACCUUUCUUUUCUGUGGUACAAGUUGAUUCCAAUCAUGAAAUAGAUAGGGUUUUGCUUCUGAACCGGCUGUUUUAAGACAACAGUCAAGUGCUAUCUCUCUCCUGUCCACUGCAAAGGAUGAAGACAAGAGGAGAGACAGGUUAAUCUUGCUUUAUUUUCAGCAGUUGUUCUUUGUCGUAGAAAGGCUUUUCCUUCUAAGAAAAGUCUGUUUCUUUUGCUAUCAAGUUCGUUGCUGCUGACUACAAAUUACAGCACUUUAUUUUCUUUGUAUGGUUUUCUCUUUGCUUUGAUUGCAACUGCAGACUGUUCAGUGGAGAUGCUGAACUAUCUUGUUCACUUUCCUGUGUAGGAUAUAAUGAAGUCUUUGUUAAGUUUUAACAUUUCGUAAAUUCUGCAGAACUAUCUACAAGAUUAAAAUUGUGGACAUACCUAAGUGCCUCAGUAAACCACUGCCAUGCUUGAGGACAGUAACCCAUCACAUUUAACAUUAACAUUGAGUUCAUUAGAAUAUAGGGCUAAUGCAUUAAAAAAUGGAGCUUUAUAAUCCUUACUGGAGUUAAUGAAUUUGUAAUAUAUUUAUUGUGCUUGGUAGGGAAGAUAGGAAGUUUUUUGAAGACAUGAUCUUUUAACUGUGUCUCUCUGCUGAACCAUUGAUAUGUCAGCAGUUGGGUCUGAACUUGUCUGUAUUUGAAACCCAGUGAAAGAUUGCCAGAGCUGUUAGCUUUUAUGUUUAUUACUGUUGUUCUUCAAAUAGUUUUAUGUUUUUUUGUUUUUUUUUCCAUUUGGUUGUAUCGUGUAUCUCCAUAUAACUUAAUAUGAAAUAAUCAUCUCUGUUCAUUUUUCUUACAGUAGUAGGUUAGUUUUUGGGUUCUUCUAAAAUUAUUUCCAUAUGAAUCAGUGGAGUAGAAUGAUUCUCCUAUUAUUUUAAAUAUACUAGACAAGUACUCUGUGUUUGGUCUUUAGUGAGCCUUCUGCAUAUCUGUUGAAAAGCCAAAGUGCACUGAAGAUUAUGGAUCAGAAACUAUUGAGAGAAGUUGAACAUGUUUCUUUCAGAUUAAAAUACUUUUUCUGUUAUGUCUUUUGCCUCCAAAUAAACUUGACACAAAUGAACUUUUGGAAUUCAGUAAAACUGAUGUUAUCUAUCCUCAUUUUGAACUCAAUGAACAUUUAACCAAAGUCAUUUUGAUGGAUGACCAGAUCUCUUUGGAUUUCUUGAGGUCAGCAUGGCUCU